rnacentral:rRNA from 1 species
UACGUAGGGGGCUAGCGUUGUCCGGAUUUAUUGGGCGUAAAGAGCGUGUAGGCGGCCAGGUAGGUCCGGUGUGAAAACCCGAGGCUUAACCUCGAGAUGUCAUCGGAAACCAUCUGGCUAGAGUCCGGAAGAGGAAAGUGGAAUUCCUGGUGUAGCGGUGAAAUGCGUAGAGAUCGGGAAGAACACCAACGGCGAAAGCACUCUGCUGGGCCGAAACUGACACUGAGAGACGAAAGCUAGGGGAGCAAAUGGG